CAGCCGCCGCGGGAACACGUAGGUGGCAAGCGUUGUCCGGAAUUAUUGGGCGUAAAGCGCGCGCAGGCGGCCUAUCCAGUCUGUCUUAAAAGUUCGGGGCUCAACCCCGUGAUGGGAUGGAAACUAGUAGGCUAGAGUAUCGGAGAGGAAAGCGGAAUUCCUAGUGUAGUGGUGAAAUGCGUAGAUAUUAGGAAGAACACCAGUGGCGAAGGCGGCUUUCUGGACGAAAACUGACGCUGAGGCACGAAAGCCAGGGGAGCGAACGGGAUUAGAGACCCGCGUAGUCCCUGUCUCUUAUACC
rnacentral:rRNA from 1 species